rnacentral:rRNA from 1 species
UACGUAGGGGGCAAGCGUUGUCCGGAUUUAUUGGGCGUAAGGAGCGUGUAGGCGGCUUUACAGGUCCGUUGUGAAAACUCGAGGCUCAACCUCGAGACGCCGGUGGAAACCGUAAAGCUAGAGUCCGGAAGAGGAGAGUGGAAUUCCUGGUGUAGCGGUGAAAUGCGCAGAUAUCAGGAGGAACACCGAUGGCGAAGGCAGGUCUCUGGGCAUUAACUGACGCUGAGGAGCGAAAGCAUGGGGAGCGAACAGG